AGUGCUCGAGUGGCGAACGGGUGAGUAACACGUGAGUAACCUGCCCUUGACUUUGGGGUAACUUCAGGAAACUGGGGCUAAUACCGGAUAGGAGCUCCUGCUGCAUGGUGGGGGUUGGAAAGUUUCGGCGGUUGGGGAUGGACUCGCGGCUUAUCAGCUUGUUGGUGGGGUAGUGGCUUACCAAGGCUUUGACGGGUAGCCGGCCUGAGAGGGUGACCGGCCACAUUGGGACUGAGAUACGGCUCAG
rnacentral:rRNA from 1 species